UCAGUAAUUUGAAGAAUCAGUAAUCACUGGAAGAACACAAACAAAAUAAGCACAUGCCAAUGGGGAAGCAUUAAAAAACAACUUGGGUCUGGCUCCGUCGCCCGGGCUGGAAUGCAGUGGCAUGAUGAUGGCUCACUACAGCCUCAAACCCCGAGGCUCAAGCGAUCCUCCCACUUCAGCCUUCGGAGUAGCUGGGACUACAGGUACGCACCACCACACCUGGCUAAUUUUUUUUUUUUUUUUUGAGACGGAGUCUCGCUCCAUUGCCGGGCUGAAGUGCAGUGGUGCAAUCGCGGCUUACUGCAACCCCCGCCUCCUGGGUUCAAGCAAUUCUCCUGCCUCAGCCUCCUGAGUAGCUGGGACUACAGGUGCGUGCCACCAUGCCCAGCUAAUUUUUGUAUUCUUAGUAGAGAUGGUGUUUCACCAUGUUGGCCAGGCUGGUCUUCAACUCCUGACCUCAGGUGAUCCACCUGCUUUGGCCUCCCCAGGUGUUGGGAUUACAGUCAUGAGCCACCGUGCCUGGCCUGCCUGGCUAAUUUUUAAAAUUUUUUGUAGAGGUGGGGGUGUUACUAUGUUGUUCAGGCUGGUCUUGAACUCAUGAGCUCAAGUGAUCCUCCUGCCCAGGCCUCCCAAAGCACUGGGAUUACAGGCCUGAGCCACCAUGCUGGGACUGUACAUCUUUCUGUAUAGCUCUGACUAUCAUAAACACGGUAACAGCCCAUAUAUCCACCUCCCCAAAUAAAUAAUUAAAAUCACCCAGGAUGUGGGGGAACCCCAAAUGGAAUAUGAAGAAUGGUAGAUGAAACUAAGUGCAUUAAAUGAAUAACAUAAUCACACUGAAGUAAGUGGGGAAGGAAAGAACUAACUUGAGUAUCCUUGGAAAAUAGUAUUUUGACUAUAAACUGUAAGAUGAAAGACCAAAAAUCUGGAUAGAAAUAUUGUACUCUAAUUAGUAAAUUUGUUUCUUGGGGAGAUGGGUUUGCAAUUCUUAAAGUACUUUAUGUGUACACAUUACUAUGAUUGAACAAAUAAGAAAAUAUAUUGUGGAUAAUGAGAGCCAGGUUUCCCACUGUCAGAGAAAAAUUUACAAAUAAGGAAAGAGGGGAAGGCUAAGAAUGAACUUUGUGUUGGAUUAAAAUGGAAGGUAUCAGUAUAAAUUCAUGGUUUUAUAUACACAUACACACACAGAUAUUUUUAGAAAUAAAUGCAGACGUGUGAGAGUAUGUUAAUAUACACACAUAUUUCCUGUCUUUCUGGGCUGAGAAGACCUGGAAGAAAUGACGACCCAGGAACAUUGGGCAUACCUAAGAAACAGAUAUUGGUUUCUUUUCUUUUCCUUUCUUUUCUUUCUUUCUUUCUUUCUUUCUUUAUUUUUGUGAGAUGGAGUCUCACUCUGUGGCCCAGGCUGGAGUACAGUGACACAAUCUUGGCUCACUGCAACCUCUGCCUCCCAAGUUCAAGUGAGUCUCUUGCCUCAGCCUCCCAAGUAGCUGGGAUUACAGGUGCGCACCACCACACCUGGCUAAUUUUUUUGUAUUUUUAGUAGACAUGGGGUUUUGCCAUGUUGGCCAGGAUGGUCUAGAACUCCUGACCUCAUGUGAUCUGCCUGCCUUGGCCUCCCAAAGUGCUGGGAUUACAGGUGUGAGCCACCAUGCCCAGCCCAGAUCUUGGUUUCUAAAUAUCAUUCUCCAUUAAAAGAAACCAAGGCUCCUUGGAAAAUGAUUGCUUCUGUGUCUGGGGCAGGGAAAGUAGAAAAUUAGUCUAGAACAUCUUCUAGCACCAGAAAAUAAGGAAAUAAAGAAUUGUUCAAAAGACAAUACAGGCAUUUUUGGAAGGACACAGAAAUCAACUUGAAAGAUCGCCAAUAGACCAAUCUGGGAAAAUUUGAGCCAAAAAAAAAAAAAGUUAGUUUUUGGUUAUAACCAAUAGGAUUCCUAAAAUAAACAUCCAUACAUUCAUACUGAUAUAAAUAAUCAAAUAAAUAAAUGAAGGGGGAGAAGGCACAACUCUUCUUUACAAGUAGAAUUUAAAUGAAUAAAUGUAGAAAAAAUGUUAAAAAUAUUAUGGAAAGUCACCAUUAGGCAAACACCAAAGCAAUCAUUGUUGCAGGCAAGAACCAUCUACUGAUAACUAAAGUUGCUCGACAAAAGUAUGAUUACAAACAGGGUUUUUCAUAGUCUCAAAGUAUCUCCCACAAUGUGCUUAUUAAUUACAAAGAAAAUAAAGUUACUUUAUAAUGGAGAAACCUGGCAGAUACUACCUUAACUAAAAGAUCACAUUUAACAUUACCAGUAAUAAAAUAUAUUGAUGUGUACCCCGUAACAUGAUGUACUGGCAAAAGCACAAUGUUGCUUCAAUGGUAUGCUUGCCAAAAACACAUAACCUCAAUUUAUCAUGAGAAAUAUCAGGCAAACUCAAAUUAAGAGACAUUGCACAAAAGAACUGACUAGUAUUUAUCAAAAG
rnacentral:lncRNA from 10 species